GUUUGGUCGUUUUUUGUGCCAUCAUCAUCAGCAAGUACAUGAGGAAGAAUCAGAUGAGCUUCAUUCCAAUCACUUGCAAAGAAGCGAACUUCCGGGCUGCUAUUGUCGUCUGUGGCCGACAAGUUCUGUUGAAUAUUGGCAUUGACAUUUGGAAUUGUUAGGCAUUGCAGCACCUCAGCAUUGAAGUCCUGAAAGUGUACAGCACGAGCACCCUUUAGGCAUGCAAAGAUCCCAGGAAGACCAUGACCACAACCAAGCUCUAAAACUCUUUUUCCAGUCAAUGAUAAUUUGCCGCUUUGCAUCUCAGAGCUUAGAGUCUUCACUAAAUCUAAUGAACCUUCCCACAAUUUCAGCCCCCCUUCAUAUUUUCCGGGGAUUAAAUCUGAAUUAGACAACCCAAAUACCUCCUUUGUACUGAC
rnacentral:misc_RNA from 1 species